rnacentral:tRNA from 1 species
CAUUGGAUGGCUGAAAGUAAGUAUUGGUCUCUUAAACCAACUAAUAGUAAGGUAACGAUAUACUUCCAAUGA